rnacentral:rRNA from 1 species
GACGAACGCUGGCGGCGUGCCUAAUACAUGCAAGUAGAACGCUGAAGGAGGAGCUUGCUUCUCUGGAUGAGUUGCGAACGGGUGAGUAACGCGUAGGUAACCUGCCUGGUAGCGGGGGAUAACUAUUGGAAACGAUAGCUAAUACCGCAUAAUAGUAGAUGUUGCAUGACAUUUGCUUAAAAGGUGCAAUUGCAUCACUACCAGAUGGACCUGCGUUGUAUUAGCUAGUUGGUGGGGUAACGGCUCACCAAGGCGACGAUACAUAGCCGACCUGAGAGGGUGAUCGGCCACACUGGGACUGAGACACGGCCCAGACUCCUACGGGAGGCAGCAGUAGGGAAUCUUCGGCAAUGGACGGAAGUCUGACCGAGCAACGCCGCGUGAGUGAAGAAGGGUGUCGGAUCGUAAAGCUCUGUUGUAAGAGAAGAACGAGUGUGAGAGUGGAAAGUUCACACUGUGACGGUAUCUUACCAGAAAGGGACGGCUAACUACGUG